GCCAGGCGUGGUGGCGCUCACCUGUAGUCCUAGGUGCUUGGGAGGCUGAAGCAGGAGGAUCACUUGAACCCAGGAGGUCAAGGCUGCAAUGAGCUGAGAUUACGCCAUUGCACUCCAGCCUGGGUGACAAAGUGAGACUCUGUCUCAA
ensembl:misc_RNA Metazoa_SRP Metazoan signal recognition particle RNA